GACGAACGCUGGCGGCGUGCCUAAUACAUGCAAGUCGAGCGGAUUUGUUCCUUCGGGGAUAAGUUAGCGGCGGACGGGUGAGUAACACGUAGGUAACCUGCCUAUAAGACCGGGAUAACUAUCGGAAACGAUAGCUAAGACCGGAUAUCCGGUUUUCUCGCAUGAGAGAAUCAUGAAACACGGAGCAAUCUGUGGCUUAUAGAUGGGCCUGCGGCGCAUUAGCUAGUUGGUAGGGUAACGGCCUACCAAGGCGACGAUGCGUAGCCGACCUGAGAGGGUGAACGGCCACACUGGGACUGAGACACGGCCCAGACUCCUACGGGAGGCAGCAGUAGGGAAUCUUCCGCAAUGGACGCAAGUCUGACGGAGCAACGCCGCGUGAGUGAUGAAGGUUUUCGGAUCGUAAAGCUCUGUUGCCCUAGACGAACAGCAAGAGGAGUAACUGCCUUUUGUGUGACGGUAUAGGAGAAGAAAGCCCCGGCUAACUACGUGCCAGCAGCCGCAGUAA
rnacentral:rRNA from 1 species